rnacentral:rRNA from 1 species
AGUGAACGCUGGCGGUAGGCCUAACACAUGCAAGUCGAACGGCAGCACAGUAAGAGCUUGCUCUUACGGGUGGCGAGUGGCGGACGGGUGAGGAAUACAUCGGAAUCUACUUUUUCGUGGGGGAUAACGUAGGGAAACUUACGCUAAUACCGCAUACGACCUACGGGUGAAAGCAGGGGAUCUUCGGACCUUGCGCGAUAGAAUGAGCCGAUGUCGGAUUAGCUAGUUGGGGGGGUAAAGGCCCACCAAGGCGACGAUCCGUAGCUGGUCUGAGAGGAUGAAAGGCCACACUGGGGCCGAGAUACGGCCCAGACGCCUACGGGGGGAAGCAGGGGGGAAGUUUGGACAAUGGGCGCCAGCCUGAUGAAGAGACGCCGCGUGGGGGAUGAAGGCUUUCGGGUUGUAAAAAACUUUCGCUAGGGACGAAGCUGUUUGUGACGGUACCUAGAGAAGAAGCACCGGCUAACUACGUG